UGAGGAAUCACCAGCAGAGGGAGGAGCUCUAUCACCAGGGAAGCCCCAGGUAUUCCUCCUGGGUGCCUCCUGCACUCUGGUACAACUUGGUAGUGAUGAGGUUGUAAAUUUUCUUCAGCUCUUUCUGCUAAUGUUCAAAUUC